ensembl:lncRNA
AUGGAUCUGCUGGCUGGAGCCGAAGCUGAGGUGCUGCCACCACCGGGGACGCCCUCCUCUACACACUCUGAUUACCUGUUCACCAGCCAGGGAGACAGGAUGCCGGUGACAGAUCUGGAUGAUUUCAUUCCACCAGCACCGCCCAUGCAAGCUCCUGGGCUGCCUGCUUAUGAAGGGAGCCCCUGGGCAAGAGAAUACCCACAGGAAGGUCGUCGUCGACAGAUGGACGCCUACGUUGACGACUUGUUUGACCCUGUGCUGGACCAAGGACCUCCGGUCAGUGAUGCCAUCAGUUCAUGUUAUUACUUAAACUGUAAUUAAAGUCAGGCUGAAUGUGCCUGGCUCUACAGUGUAUGGAGUGUGCCGGCUCUUGGUGGAUUGUGUAUCUCUUGGUUGUAUCUUGUUACUUAGUGCGUGAAGUCACUGUUUCCUUCUGUCUUUCCAGUAAGCGUGCUGCUGUAUGCGGCUCACUCACAAUGUAAUGCACGACUCAUUUGUGUGUGUGUGUGUAGGACAUGGAAAGAGUAGCCUUGCUGAACCGAAGGAUGAGGGGAGGAGGAGGGAUUGGACCCAUGCAGCCUGGCAUGUAUGGAGCAGGUAAGAAAACAGGUCAUCCACACAAUAGAGGUUCUUGCACAGUUGCACAACUGUAACUUGUUUGUGACAAGGCUGUAGGCC